rnacentral:misc_RNA from 1 species
GAACGUUUUUGAAAUAUGCAUAACUUUGCCAAUUUGACUAACAACUCCAGGCAAAAAGAAAGCUAAAGCAUCUGCAGUGCCAACCUUAGCAACAAGUACUCUCAGAGUGGAGAAGGCUUCUAUCCGAAGGCUUGCACUGCCUUGUUGCCCUCGUGCUGCCUCAACAUCUGCUACCUUCAGCAGAAGUGAUAGCCAAUGUCCAACAGCAAC